UUGGUGCCAAAUCCCUUUGAAGUUUCCUCC
rnacentral:piRNA from 1 species